rnacentral:snRNA from 1 species
GUACUUUCCUCAGCAGUACAUAUACUAAAAAACUAGAAUGAUAGAGAAGAUUAACAUGACCCCUGUGCAUGCAAAUUCGUGAAGUAUUCCAUACGAAA